rnacentral:rRNA from 1 species
GUGCCAGCAGCCGCGGUAAAACGUAGGAGCCUAGCGUUAUCCGAAUUUACUGGGCGUAAAGCGCGUGCAGGCGGCUUUGUAAGUUGGCUGUGAAAUCUCCCGGCUCAACUGGGAGGGGACGGUCAAGACUGCGAGGCUGGAGGCAGGUAGAGGGAGGUGGAAUUCCCGGUGUAGUGGUGAAAUGCGUAGAGAUCGGGAGGAACACCAGUGGCGAAAGCGGCCUCCUGGACCUGUCCUGACGCUGAGAUGCGAAAGCUAGGGGAGCAAACGGGAUUAGAAACCCUCGUAGUCC